rnacentral:lncRNA from 1 species
CCGGGCCGCAAGUCUGCGUGUCCACCCCCUCACCCUGCUGCUCUGCUUGUCCUUGUGCCCCUUGAUAACUUCGAAUGUCUCAAAAUAUCAACAACAAAAAGAGCGAAGCCCAGCAAAUUCUUCCCGGCUGGUGAACCCACACCAGGGAUUCUGGGGCACACUGACAUGGAAAGGAGCAUACUUAAGUACAG